GACGAACGCUGGCGGCGUGCUUAACACAUGCAAGUCGAACGAGAGCGUAGAGAAAGCUUGCUUUUUCUACAAUCUAGUGGCAAACGGGUGAGUAACGCGUAAACAACCUGCCCUACGGAUGGGGACAACAGCUGGAAACGGCUGCUAAUACCGAAUACGUUCCGAAAGUCGCAUGACUAUCGGAAGAAAGGAUGGCCUCUACUUAUAAGCUAUCGCCGGAGGAGGGGUUUGCGUCUGAUUAGCUAGUUGGAGGGGUAACGGCCCACCAAGGCGACGAUCAGUAGCCGGUCUGAGAGGAUGAACGGCCACAUUGGAACUGAGACACGGUCCAGACUCCUACGGGAGGCAGCAGUGGGGAAUCUUCCGCAAUGGGCGAAAGCCUGACGGAGCAACGCCGCGUGAGUGAAGACGGCCUUCGGGUUGUAAAGCUCUGUUAUACGGGACGAAUAAUCUUGUGGUUAAUACCCAUGAGAAGUGACGGUACCGUAAGAGAAAGCCACGGCUAACUACGUG
rnacentral:rRNA from 1 species